ensembl:lncRNA
UGUGUGAGAGAGCGAGUGUGUGAGAGAGCGAGUGUGUGAGAGAGAGUGAGUGACUGAGCGAGUGUGUGAGAGAGAGUGAGUGACUGAGCGAGUGAGUGUCUGAGCGAGUGUGUGAGAGAGCGAGUGUGUGAGAGAGAGUGAGUGACUGAGCCAGUGAGUGAGUGAGCGAGUGAGUGAGCGAGUGUGUGAGAGAGCGAGUGUGUGAGAGAGAGUGAGUGACUGAGCGAGUGUGUGAGAGAGCGAGUGUGUGAGAGAGAGUGAGUGACUGAGCGAGUGUGUGAGAGAGCGAGUGUGUGAGAGAGAGUGAGUGACUGAGCCAGUGAGUGAGUCAGCGAGUGAGUGAGCGAGUGUGUGAGAGAGCGAGUGUGUGAGAGAGAGUGAGUGACUGAGCGAGUGUGUGAGAGAGCGAGUGUGUGAGAGAGAGUGAGUGACUGAGCGAGUGUGUGAGAGAGAGAUGACACAGAUGGAGGAAGAGGAAGAAAGGUUGACUUUGGGAUGAAGGCAGGCAGGUGGAGAGAUGAUGUGAUAAGGUUGAAAUAGACAGAACGAAACAUAGAGAAAAGAAACCUUUAGAUAGACAGACACACAGAUAGAAACAAAUGGACAAAAGAGAAAGAUUGAUAGAAAGAUAAGCUGCUAGAUAGAUAGAUAAAUAGAUAGAUAGCCUGAUAGAUAGAUAAGUAGAUAGAUAGAUAGAUAGCCUGAUAGAUAGAUAGAUAGAUAGAUAGGUAGAUAGAUGGCCUGAUAUAUAGAUAGCUGUAUAGAUAGUUAGAUAGAUAGAAUGAACAGAGGGACUGGGUGCAUGUGUAUGUAAUAAUAAUAAUAAUAAUAAUUCAUUUUAUUUGUAACGCACUCG